CUCAGAAACUCAUCCUUCCCUGGGACUCCUUCCUUUCCCCAAACAAGAUCUGAACCAGCCUGGAGAAAAAGAUGUGCCCGUGAGCCUCAUGAUUGGAAGGGCCUUUGUCACGCGGAGUUCUAAGCUCGGUGGCCAAUACUAUUCCAUGCCCUGGGGUUACAGCCGUCUGACCUCUCGCUGCCCUAAUUAUACUCUAGAAGAACGACAGCUCCUUCUAGACAUCCAGCCACUAAACAAUCAGAUAAUGCUUUUCUGCUACUGGUACCUAGGAUUGAAUGCAAGAGGUUUGGAACUUUCCAGAAAAGAAUAUUGUUGUGUAUCACAGAGAGGGUACAAGAGGAAGCUCUCGGAUCGGACAGACUCAGGUAAGCCCCGGCUCUGUCAUGACUGUGUGACUUUCGGGCAAAUUACUGAACUCCUAGCUUCGAUUUUUCUCAACCAUGAAAUGGGGAUAAUAAUAGUAUCUCACUCAUAGGGCUGUUUUAAGGACAAAUGAGGUAAUGUAUGUAAAACACUUAGCACCAAAUCUGGCACAUAUUAAAUGCUCAGUGUCCACUGGCUUUUAUUAUUUUUAGUAUGUCCCAGUUAAACAGCCAUGAUCUAAGAAGCAUCACAACAAUAGAAGUUUCUAGAAAAGCAGCUCCAGUUUGGGAGGUUUUUUUUGCUCAAAUGUGUGCCCUGUCCUUGGCCAGUCUCCACAUAUAGCAUAUGGGGGUGGUGGCAGGGGAAGAGCUGGUUUGGGGAAGCCAGCAGGGCUGGCUCCAAGAGGAAACAGUACUUAAGUGGUACCAUCUAAAAUCCUGGGGUACAGAGAGAUUUUAGGCAAGCUCUUCUGGAACUCGGCUGUCCCCUUCCUACAAAAGAGUGUUAUACUCCCUGGCGCAAGACGGUGCCUCAGAUUUCAGCGAGAUCCAUUUGUUUGGAGCUUCAAAGUCUUUGGAGGCUUCAAGAAGGUCUGGGAAGUAAUGCCUUAAGCCAUUGUCACCUGCAUCAGAUAGCUCACAUGUAGCUGCCCCCCCCCACCCAUCCUAUGGCCUAUAUAAACAGUGAGCACCUGCUUAUAAAUGGAAACUUUUUUUUAAAGAUUUAUUUAUUUAUUCAUGAGAGACACAGAGAGAGACAGAGACAUAGGCAGAGGGAGAAGCAGGCUCCCUGCGGGGACCCCGAUGUGGGACUCGAUCCCAGGGCUCCAGGAUCACACCCUGAGCCGAAGGCAGACUCUCAGCCACUGAGCCACCCAGACGCCUCUUGGAACUCUUGGUUUUAGUGAAGGAAGCCUAUGGCCCUUGCCCCCUGCUCUGGUGGUUUGCACACAUGCGUGCUCCACACCCUGUUCUCUCUCUCCCUUAAACACACACACACACACACACACACCCCUACAUGGAGCACAGAGCAGGAAUAGGUGUACAGAACCAAUGACCAGACUCACCUGGCGGUCCCCACCCAGCUUCAUCUCACGAAGACCCAUCUACCUGGAUCACGUGCUUGAGAAGGAAGCUGAUGGAUCAGCCAAUGUUUGGGCAGAAAAUGCCAUGGGAAGCAUCGGGAGAAACCGAUGUGUGUGAGUCGCAAGGCUGGGCUCCGGGCACAUUACAACACACCCCAGUGUGGUGGCUCUACUCCAUCCCUAGAUUUUCGUACCCCGAGGGGUCAGUGGGGUUUGGCUACUCUCACAAAAUGGAACUGGUGGAAGCAAAGUGGGCUCCAAUUUGGACCUGAGGACUUUUUGAUUCUCCUCUAUGUAGAUGGAAGCUGCUACCAAGCGUCUUCCUUGCCUUCUUCUCCUAUUGGCCUUAGCUUCCCUUAAUUUACUUCAUCUUUGUGGGAAGGAUAGAAGGGGACUUGCCAGAGACACCCAAGUGCACCUUCUUCCCAACCAAGCUCUGCCCCAUCCUGUAUCUUUCUUGUGUAUUUAAGUGGUAUUUUCUUAUGUAACUGUCCUGAUCUGCAAAUACUCUCGGUAUCCUGGAUGCACACUUGGCUAUAUUAAAGCUUCAUGUUUCCUGGAGAGUUUGAGACAUCAGCUUUUCUGGAAUGUCUUUAGACCCACCCCGAUCCCCCUCCUUUUUGCCCUUUGUCCCCAAAUGUUCUACCUUCAGUAACUUGGAUUUGUGUCCUUUUUCUGUCUAGGUGUCUCCAAACCUAGAGGAAUCUGCGGAUCUGUGAAGGGGUUUUUGUGGUGUUCAUGACUCUCCUGCUGUCAGAUUUGCAGAAGAUAAAACAGAAAAAGGAAAGCGACUCCUCCCUUAUAUUAAAAAUAAAUAAGAUUUUAAAUUUCUAUUUAAGAGAGCU
rnacentral:lncRNA from 12 species